rnacentral:tRNA from 1 species
GAGGGUAUAGCUCAGUGGUAGUGUGCAUGCCUGGCAUGCAUGAGGUCCUGGAUUCAAUCCCCAGUAACUCCA